rnacentral:rRNA from 1 species
CAGCCGCGGUAACACGGAGGGCGCGAGCGUUACCCGGAUUUACUGGGCGUAAAGGGCGUGUAGGCGGCCUGGGGCGUCCCAUGUGAAAGGCCACGGCUCAACCGUGGAGGAGCGUGGGAUACGCUCAGGCUAGAGGGUGGGAGAGGGUGGUGGAAUUCCCGGAGUAGCGGUGAAAUGCGCAGAUACCGGGAGGAACGCCGAUGGCGAAGGCAGCCACCUGGUCCACUUCUGACGCUGAGGCGCGAAAGCGUGGGGAGCAAACCGGAUUAGAUACCCCAGUAGUCCCUGUCUCUUAUACACA